GACGAACGCUGGCGGCGUGCUUAACACAUGCAAGUCGAACGGAAAGGCCCUGCUUUUGUGGGGUGCUCGAGUGGCGAACGGGUGAGUAACACGUGAGUAACCUGCCCUUUACUUUGGGAUAACUUCAGGAAACUGGGGCUAAUACCGGAUAGGAGCUCCUGCUGCAUGGUGGGGGUUGGAAAGUUUCGGCGGUUGGGGAUGGACUCGCGGCUUAUCAGCUUGUUGGUGGGGUAGUGGCUUACCAAGGCUUUGACGGGUAGCCGGCCUGAGAGGGUGACCGGCAACAUUGGGACUGAGAGACGGCCCAGACUCCUACGGGAGGCAGCAGUGGGGAAUAUUGCACAAUGGGCGGAAGCCUGAUGCAGCAACGCCGCGUGCGGGAUGACGGCCUUCGGGUUGUAAACCGCUUUCGCCUGUGACGAAGCGUGAGUGACGGUAAUGGGUAAAGAAGCACCGGCUAACUACGUG
rnacentral:rRNA from 1 species